AGAGUUUGAUCAUGGCUCAGAGCGAACGCUGGCGGCGUGCUUAACACAUGCAAGUCGAACGUGAAAGGGAGCAAUCCUGAGUAAAGUGGCGUACGGGUGAGUAACACGUAGGUAAUCUACCGAAGAGUCUGGAAUAACCUGCCGAAAGGCGGGCUAAUACUGGAUAGAGCGACGGAAUCCGUAAUUGGGUUUUUCGGGAAAGGGAGGACGCAAGUCCCUUCGCUUUUCGAUGAGCCUGCGUCCGAUUGGCUAGUUGGUGGGGUAAAGGCCCACCAAGGCGAUGAUCGGUAGCUGGUCUGAGAGGAUGAUCAGCCACACUGGAACUGAAACACGGUCCAGACUCCUACGGGAGGCAGCAGUGGGGAAUCUUGCGCAAUGGACGAAAGUCUGACGCAGCCACGCCGCGUGAGUGAAGAAGGCCUUCGGGUUGUAAAGCUCUGUCGGGCGAGACGAAAACGCUUGAGGUGAAUAGCCUCAGGAAUUGACGGUACCGCCAAAGGAAGCACCGGCUAACUUCGUGCCAGCAGCCGCGGUAAUACGAGGGGUGCAAGCGUUGCUCGGAAUUAUUGGGCGUAAAGGGUAGGUAGGUGGUCUCGUUUGUCUGGGGUGAAAUCCUUGAGCUUAACUCAAGAAGUGCCUUAGAAACGGCGAGACUCGAGUCCUGGAGAGGGUCGUGGAAUUCCCGGUGUAGCGGUGAAAUGCGUAGAGAUCGGGAGGAACACCAGAGGCGAAGGCGGCGACCUGGACAGGAACUGACACUCAACUACGAAAGCGUGGGGAGCAAACAGGAUUAGAUACCCUAGUAGUCC
rnacentral:rRNA from 1 species